rnacentral:rRNA from 1 species
UACGUAGGUGGCGAGCGUUGUCCGGAUUUACUGGGCGUAAAGAGCGCGCAGGCGGUCGUACAAGUCGCGUGUGAAAGCCCCCGGCUCAACUGGGGAGGGUCACGCGAUACUGUUCGACUCGAAGGCAGGAGAGGGAAGUGGAAUUCCCGGUGUAGUGGUGAAAUGCGUAGAUAUCGGGAGGAACACCAGUGGCGAAGGCGCUCUACUGGACCACAACUGACACUCAGGGACGAAAGCUAGGGGAGCGAAUGGG